AUUUUUUUAGUUGAGUACACAAAAAAGCAUUUCAUUGGUGUCUUGAGUGAUAUGAGACCUUCUUUAUCGGUAGUCUAUUAGAGGGAUUUAUAAUAUUUUGAAGGAAAAAAAUAAUUUAGAAGAAAAGAAAAAUGUGGAAUUGGCAAUGGAAGAAAAUGGAAUCAAAGGAGAUGGAAUCAGAGGACAAUCGGGUCGGAGGAGAUGCGACGGAGAUUGAAUCGGCGGAGGCUAAUUGGAGGGUUUUGAAUCGAGUCCGAGAUUGUAUCGGAGGCAAAGCUCCUUCUCCUGCUUCUAUGGCUGUCCAAAAACUAUGCUCUGUCUUGGUAUAUCUUUCUUUCUUUCUUCUUCUGUCUCUGUUUGAUUUUCUCGGAUUGCGGAUAGGGUUUUUGCAGUUUCUGCUGGUUUUGAUUGAAUUACAUAUAUUGGUAGUCAUUUAGAAAGAUUUGGUUAAAACUGUUUUAGAUUGGUUUCAUUGGAUUUUGAAUAAACGUGGGAAUAUCUUCCUAGUUUCUCUUGAUUAGUCAUGUGAAGCCCUUGUAAUAGUUUGGGCAAUCAAGCCAAGUUUCUAUUGAUUCGGGUCAUUGCAAGAAUGGAAAAGAGAGUUCGCUUUAGCUAGCUUGAGAAUUAUGUUGUUCGAGGUUUAAGUUAAACUAGAAGCUCUAUCUGUGGUUCUAGUCACGAUUGUUCUGACUUCUCAGCUUUUGUUCCAAGAAUUUGAAGUAGCUGCCUACAGUUUAAUGAUUGUUGAAUUGAAUUUAUGAAAACACUUGCAGGUUAUUAAUUGUUGAAUUGAAUUUGUGGACUGCAACUAAUCCAGAAUUUGUUCUUGAAGAGUGAUCUUCUCAUUUAUUAAUCAAUUCUGUGUCAUUGUAUGAAUCUGUUUUGUGUCCUUGUAUGAAUCUGUUUUGUGUCUUUUGUGUCACGAAUCUGUUUUGUGUCUUUGUUUUCCUUGAUGUAUAGGAUUCUACUCUCAAGCUAUUCAUCUAGUUUCAGGAAAUGGUGGACAAGACGGGUUACGAAGUAUGUCUCAUGGUUUCAGUUUGUCCUCAUUUUUGUAAUCUCAUCUUCUCGUGAACACAUUUUUUCAUGAAAAAUGUCUCAACUUUUCUACAAGUUAGACUUGUUAGAGUCACCAAAAGAGGCGUAUUUUGCCCAGUUAUACCUUUCACAGGUGGGUAAUGCCUCAUAUAGUAUCAGCUACGACCUUUGGUCUUCAGAUGCAAUUAAUAUAGCUGUUAGAUGCAAGGAAUCUACUCUCAAGCUAUUCACCGCUAUGAAGAACACAUGCGUAUAAACGAGCUAUGAAGACUUCUCACCAUUGAUGCAAGGUAAUUAAGCGUCCGUCCGUACUGACUUUGUGAAAGCUUUGUGUUGAGUAAAUGGCAAAACAGAAUCAGUGAAGACUUUGAGUUUUUCUUAUUGUAAUAUGUACAGUAUUAUGUUUUGUAUGUUUACAAAUUAAUUAAAUGCAAUAUUUUUCCUAUU